rnacentral:siRNA from 1 species
UGGGAGCUAACUUCGUCACUCUA